GCAGUAAGGAGCUACCAUGCAGUCGAGCGGUAGAGAGAAGCUUGCUUCUCUUGAGAGCGGCGGACGGGUGAGUAAUGCCUAGGAAUCUGCCUGGUAGUGGGGGAUAACGUUCGGAAACGGACGCUAAUACCGCAUACGUCCUACGGGAGAAAGCAGGGGACCUUCGGGCCUUGCGCUAUCAGAUGAGCCUAGGUCGGAUUAGCUAGUUGGUGGGGUAAUGGCUCACCAAGGCGACGAUCCGUAACUGGUCUGAGAGGAUGAUCAGUCACACUGGAACUGAGACACGGUCCAGACUCCUACGGGAGGCAGCAGUGGGGAAUAUUGGACAAUGGGCGAAAGCCUGAUCCAGCCAUGCCGCGUGUGUGAAGAAGGUCUUCGGAUUGUAAAGCACUUUAAGUUGGGAGGAAGGGUUGUAGAUUAAUACUCUGCAAUUUUGACGUUACCGACAGAAUAAGCACCGGCUAACUCUGUGCCAGCAGCCGCGGUAAUACAGAGGGUGCAAGCGUUAAUCGGAAUUACUGGGCGUAAAGCGCGCGUAGGUGGUUUGUUAAGUUGGAUGUGAAAUCCCCGGGCUCAACCUGGGAACUGCAUUCAAAACUGACUGACUAGAGUAUGGUAGAGGGUGGUGGAAUUUCCUGUGUAGCGGUGAAAUGCGUAGAUAU
rnacentral:rRNA from 1 species